AUUGAACGCUGGCGGCAGGCCUAACACAUGCAAGUCGAGCGGAUGAAGGGAGCUUGCUCCUGGAUUCAGCGGCGGACGGGUGAGUAAUGCCUAGGAAUCUGCCUGGUAGUGGGGGAUAACGUCCGGAAACGGGCGCUAAUCCCGCAUACGUCCUGAGGGAGAAAGUGGGGGAUCUUCGGACCUCACGCUAUCAGAUGAGCCUAGGUCGGAUUAGCUAGUUGGUGGGGUAAAGGCCUACCAAGGCGACGAUCCGUAACUGGUCUGAGAGGAUGAUCAGUCACACUGGAACUGAGACGCGGUCCAGACUCCUACGGGCGGCAGCAGUGGGGAAUAUUGGACGAUGGGCGAAAGCCUGAUCCAGCCAUGCCGCGUGUGUGAAGAAGGUCUUCGGACUGUAAAGCGCUUUAAGUUUGGAGGAAGGGCAGUAAGUUAAUACCUUGCUGUUUUGACGUUACCAACAGAAUAAGCACCGGCUAACUUCGUG
rnacentral:rRNA from 1 species